UACGUAGGGUGCAAGCGUUGUCCGGAAUUAUUGGGCGUAAAGAGCUCGUAGGCGGUUCGUCACGUCGGCUGUGAAAACCUGAGGCUCAACCUCAGGCCUGCAGUCGAUACGGGCGGACUUGAGUACUGCAGGGGAGACUGGAAUUCCUGGUGUAGCGGUGAAAUGCGCAGAUAUCAGGAGGAACACCGGUGGCGAAGGCGGGGUCUCUGGGCAGUAACUGACGCUGGAGGAGCGAAAGCCGUGGGGAGCGAACAGG
rnacentral:rRNA from 1 species